AUGGAGCCAUUCCUGGGAGUCGCUUUGGUGGUUUUGUGGCUUCAAACGGACUGGGUGAACAGCCAGAAGGUAGAGCAGAAUCCUCGGGCCCUGAGCAUCCAGGAGGGUGAAAAGGCCACUCUGACCUGUAACUAUACGAGCUUCUCUCCAGAGGCCCUACAGUGGUACCGACAAGAUCCAGGAAGAGGCCUUGUCUUCUUGCUGCUAAUACGUGAAAAUGAGGGUGAAAAACAGGAAGGAAGACUGAGGGUCACCUUUGAUAAGACCUCCAAACAGAGCUCCUUUCAUAUCACAGCCUCCUGGCCUGUAGACUCAGCCACAUACCUCUGUGCUGCAGACACACAGCAGUGCCCUGGCAGCUGCGUCCUGCACCCAAACCCUGCUCACCUCUCACAGUCAACAGAGCUGGUGCUGUUCCCACAAGGCCUCCUCCAGCUCCUGGCAAAACAAAGUGGGGGCCAUUUGAAAGGGGUGAAAUGUGUGGGAUAG